UGCCUGUGACCAACUUCUCUGCAGCCAGAAAGCUCUGUACUGAGUAAACCUGGUGGUGCAAGGAGGCAAUUUAGCUCUCAGAAAUGUAGCCAGAUCUGCACAGCAAAAUUUAGCUCAGUGGAGCUAACGGAAGCUCCUUGCAGCAUCCUCCUGCUCCACAAACUGUGGUGGGGUGCACUUGGCCGUGGUGCUUGGAGUGUUCCUUUAAAUGUGUAACGAUUGGACAUUUACUUGCCGAAACAUCUAUCCCAAUACGUGAGUACACUAGGGAAGCGUGCCAAUGGGAUAGAAGCAGGGAUUGCUGGAGGUAGUUGUGAUAAAUGCUCUUUUCCACAGACGUUUACCACAAACUCCUGGAGGAGUGUGGAAGCUGGCCUCCUGCCCACCGACUAUGGUCCAGGUCUGAGACCCAGUUUGGGAGUUGCCUUGCCCAUCCACCAUUAGCAGCUUUUCC